UACGGGGGGAGCAAGCGUUGUUCAGAUUUACUGGGCGUAAAGGGCUCGUAGGCGGCCAACUAAGUCAGACGUGAAAUCCCUCGGCUUAACUGGGGAACUGCGUCUGAUACUGGAUGGCUUGGAUUUGGGAGAGGGAUGCGGAAUUCCAGGUGUAGCGGUGAAAUGCGUAGAUAUCUGGAGGAACACCGGAUGGCGAAGGCGGAUCUCUGGGCCUGUCCUGACGCUGAGGCGCGAAAGCUAGGGGAGCGAACAGG
rnacentral:rRNA from 1 species